ensembl:misc_RNA Y_RNA Y RNA
AGAUAAUUUGGAGGCUGGUGUUUACAACUGAUUGAUCACACCAGUUACAGAUUUAUUUGUUCCUUCUCCACUCCCACUGCUUCACUUAACUAGCCUUAA